GAAAUGCGAUAAGUAAUGUGAAUUGCAGAAUUCAGUGAAUCAUCGAAUCUUUGAACGCACAUUGCGCCCGCCAGCACUCUGGCGGGCAUGCCUGUUCGAGCGUCAUUUCAACCCUCAGAACCCCUUGCGGGAUCUGGCGUUGGGGAUUGGCAUCCAGCCAGCCCCGAAAUCUAGUGGCGGUCCCUCCGCGACCUCCCCUGUGCAGUAGUGAUACCUCGCAGCGGGACAGCGGUCUGACCACGCCGUAAAACCCCCAACUUCUCAAGGUUGACCUCGAAUCAGGUAGGAAUACCCGCUGAACUUAAGC
rnacentral:misc_RNA from 1 species